UCGGAUGUGGUGUAGUGGGAACACGGCCUCUUUAUGUACGACUGCGUGAAAUUUUAGAGGCAGCCCGGGGUUCGAGUCCCUGCAUCCGAG